UGGCGGACGGGUGAGUAACGCGUGGGUAACCUGCCUCAUACAGGGGGAUAACAGUUAGAAAUGACUGCUAAUACCGCAUAAGACCACGGUACCGCAUGGUACAGUGGUAAAAACUCCGGUGAUAUGAGAUGGACCCGCGUCUGAUUAGGUAGUUGGUGGGGUAACGGCCUACCAAGCCGACGAUCAGUAGCCGACCUGAGAGGGUGACCGGCCACAUUGGGACUGAGACACGGCCCAG
rnacentral:rRNA from 1 species